ACGGCUCAGUAACACGUGGAUAACCUGCCCUAAGGAAGGGGAUAACCCCGGGAAACUGGGGAUAAUACCCUAUAGGUUACAGAUGCUGGAAUGCUCUGUAACCGAAAGCUCCGGCGCCUUAGGAUGGAUCUGCGGCCGAUUAGGUUGUUGUCGGGGUAACGGCCCAACAAGCCAGUAAUCGGUACGGGUUGUGGGAGCAAGAGCCCGGAGUUGGAUUCUGAGACACGAAUCCAGGCCCUACGGGGCGCAGCAGGCGCGAAAACUUUACAAUGCGGGCAACCGUGAUAAGGGAACCUCGAGUGCCUGUAUAUGCAGGCUGUCUGGGUGUCUAAAACACACCUAAAGAAAGGGCCGGGCAAGACCGGUGCCAGCCGCCGCGGUAAUACCGGCGGCUCGAGUGGUGGCCACUUUUAUUGGGCUUAAAGCGUUCGUAGCUGGGUUAUUAAGUCCCUUGGGAAAUCCGACGGCUUAACCGUCGGGCGUCUAAGGGAUACUGGCAAUCUUGGAACCGGGAGAGGUGAGGGGUACUUCGGGGGUAGGAGUGAAAUCCUGUAAUCCUCGAGGGACCACCUGUGGCGAAGGCGCCUCACCAGAACGGCUUCGACAGUGAGGGACGAAAGCUGGGGGAGCAAACCGGAUUAGAUACCCGGGUAGUCCCAGCCGUAAACGAUGUGCGUUAGGUGUAUCGGUGACCACGAGUCACCGAGGUGCCGAAGGGAAACCGUGAAACGUACCGCCUGGGAAGUACGGUCGCAAGGCUGAAACUUAAAGGAAUUGGCGGGGGAGCACA
rnacentral:rRNA from 1 species